UUUUAAAUAUUAACUAUACACUUAAAUGUUACAUACUUAUACAUUACAUUGGUUCAUGGAUAAGGUUUUUUUUACUAUGUACAUCUUAUCUUUUGCUACAUGUCUUUUUAAGAUGAACUGAUGAUGUCUACUGAGCAGUAGACGAAACGUCUUCAAUAAAUAGAUGAAGUAGCUGAA